UAAGGACAAACAAUUAAUUUAGGAUGAAAGACUAGGAUUUCUAAAAAAUAUUUGAUUGGAGUAAUUACAUUGAAAAUCAUGUUGAAGACUUAUAAAGUCUUGGGGGGGAAUCCUACGGAUUCCCCCCCUUUAUCUACCCUUACCUGCCAAAAGGGGAAAAUAAAAAACGGGGCCCGAAAGCGGGGGGAGUCCGUAGGAUUCCCCCCCUCGUCCGGCCCCCCUUUUUAGCGUGGGGGAGAAAAAAACUGGAAACUGAAUCAUCUUAGUACCAGAAUAAAAAAUCAACCGAGAUCCCAAAAGUAGUGAGAACGAAAAUGGGGGAAUCUAUCGAACAAAGAGGGUAAGUAUAAUACAGUCCCGUAGAUAGAGCAUUUUGUAAAAUGGAGUGGGCCCGGGCCCGCCAUAAAAAGAUAUGGCGGGAUCCGUUGGGUCUCCAAUAAAAUAGGCGGCAUUAUCGCCGGGGCCCCGCCCUCUCUAAUCCAAAGGAUGGAAAUACCGAUAGUGAAAUAGUACUGUGAAGGAAAGUUGAAAGAGAGUUGAAAUAGAACCGGAAAUCCUAAAAAAAAAGCAGUAGGUUUAUAGAGCCUGCGUACCUUUUGCAUAAGUGGUUCGCAAGUUUUUAAUUUGGCAAACUUGAACCGUAAGGUUGAGGUGUUACGAAAGUGAAAAAAGUCAAAUGAACCCGAAACCAAGUGAUCUACCCCUGAUCUGGCGUGGGCGAAGGGUCCAAAAGGGCUCCGUGCCGCGGCCUAACCGGUGGAUGUGGCAAAAUCCUCGGAUGAAUUGGGGGUAGUGGUGAUACGCCAAUCGCACUUGGAAAUAGCUGGUUUUCUGCGAAAACUAUCUAAGUAGUGCCGACACUCCCGUUUUUUUGUCGAGUCAGACAUAGGACGAUAAGGCCCUAUGUCUAAUGGGAAACAACCCGAAUCAUUAGUUAAGGACAUUAAUAAACAG
rnacentral:rRNA from 1 species